UUAUUUCUCAUUUGUAAGUUGCUUUGGAUAAAAGCAUCUGCUAAAUGAAUAAAU
rfam:Danio rerio chromosome 23, GRCz11 reference primary assembly.